rnacentral:rRNA from 1 species
GAUCCUGGCUCAGGACGAACGCUGGCGGCGUGCUUAACACAUGCAAGUCGAACGAAGAGCGAUGGAAGCUUGCUUCUAUCAAUCUUAGUGGCGAACGGGUGAGUAACGCGUAAUCAACCUGCCCUUCAGAGGGGGGACAACAGUUGGAAACGACUGCUAAUACCGCAUACGAUCCAAUCUCGGCAUCGAGACUGGAUGAAAGGUGGGCCUCCUAUUUAUUAAGCUAUCACUGAAGGAGGGGG